UGAGAUUACAAUAAUGAUAAUAAGCUCCCUCUUCUGAAGUUCAAGUUGUGGACAAUUGUCGGCAGAAUUGAACCUAAUUUAAUACUUGCCAUGACUGAGUGA